UAUAAUAAGCUCGCAAUACAUGUCACUUAUUUUAUUAGGUGGUAGUACCAAUAAGAAUAGUAGUAAGCUGCAUCUAUUGUUUUCACACCUUAGAAUUUCUCUAUGAACGGAAACAUCUGUAAUACCUGCACUGAGAAAAAUCCCACUAACAAAUUCAUGCCCUGAAGCUGAGUUUCUGCUAAACAGUUUAUUUAAUGCUUUUAUUAAAACCAAAACAGAAAUCAGGACAAGGACAUCUCCUCUGCCAAUUCCUUUUGGAAAAAAAUUAUUAUCCUUUAAAUUGCUUCUAGAAGGCCUGACUGAACAGGGAGUUCAGCUGAAGUCCAUAAUAUUUAGGAGAUAAUUUGCUACUCAGUCUGGACCCUCAUAGUGAAUUAUGUCUGCCUAUCAACUUUGCAAUUACAGACCCACAAUUUUAUCAACCCACCUAUGAAUGAAUGUACUCUCAAGGUACUAAUUCUUAUAUCAAUGCAUGUAUUCAAAAUGGGACCUAAUUCCAGCAUGGUAAAUAAGUAUUUUUGUUCAUAGCACUCCCUU
rnacentral:lncRNA from 1 species